GACGAACGCUGGCGGCGUGCCUAAUACAUGCAAGUUGAGCGCUGAAGGUUGGUACUUGUACCAACUGGAUGAGCAGCGAACGGGUGAGUAACGCGUGGGGAAUCUGCCUUUGAGCGGGGGACAACAUUUGGAAACGAAUGCUAAUACCGCAUAAAAACUUUAAACACAAGUUUUAAGUUUGAAAGAUGCAAUUGCAUCACUCAAUGAUGAUCCCGCUUUGUAUUAGCUAGUUGGUGAGGUAAAGGCUCACCAAGGCGAUGAUACAUAGCCGACCUGAGAGGGUGAUCAGCCACAUUGGGAAUGAGACACGGCCCAAACUACUACGGGAGGCAGCAGUAGGGAAUCUUCGGCGAUGGAAGAAAGUCUGACCGAGCCACGCCGCGUGAGUGAAGAAGGUCUUCGGAUCGUAAAACUCUGUUGGUAGAGAAGAACGUUGGUGAGAGUGGAAAGCUCAUCAAGUGACGGUAACUACUCAGAAAGGGACGGCUAACUACGUG
rnacentral:rRNA from 1 species